GGCUGGUCCAAGUGCAGUGGAGUUUAUAACUAAAUGAUCACAACCAGUUGCCAAUUCCUUUGUUCCUUUUCCACUACCACUGCUUCACUUGACUAGCCCUAA
ensembl:misc_RNA Y_RNA Y RNA